CGGAAGCUAAUUAAUUGGGUUUGGAGUUGGUGUUGUUACUCUAGUUAUGGCUAGAGAUGAUCCAAGUGGUAUUAAUUUUUGGCUUAAGGUGAUUGUGUUGGCGGCCGACAACACGAUGCCGAAAGUCGAGAACUAAGACACUUGCAAGCUACCGCCUGAUUGAUAUUGUUUAAUCGUUAUGUUUCACAAUUACAACGAUGUUGUUGGGUUAAGUAAUUAACCAACUGUUUGCGUUUCAGGAGCUAUGGCACCAAAAAGACGCUACGUGCGUAGAACUGCUCUGGCACCACCUCGAGAGGUGCCCGGGCCAGCCGUGCCUCCAGUGGCGCCAGGGCCAGCUAGGCCUACUGAGGUGCAGGAGCUGCGAGCGCAGGUUGCGGCGCUCACAUGACGGUUCGAUAGGCUCCAGGAGCUAUUGGAGCAGCAGGCUGCGGCGGCAGGUCUAGGCCACGGUCUGCCUGCG
rnacentral:lncRNA from 1 species